rnacentral:rRNA from 1 species
AUUGAACGCUGACGGCAGGCCUAACACAUGCAAGUCGAACGAGUGGCGGACGGGUGAGUAAUGUCUGGGAAACUGCCUGAUGUCGGGGGAUAACUCCUGGAAACGGUAGCUAAUAACGCAUACCCUCGGAUGUGCCCAGCUGGGAUUAGCUAGUAGGUGGGGUAACGGCUCCCCUGGGCGACGAUCCCUCGCUGGUCUGCGAGGAUGACCAGCCACACGGGAACUGAGACACGGUCCAGACUCCUACGGGAGGCAGCAGUGGGGAAGAUUGCACAAUUGGCGAAAGCCCGAUGCAGCCAUGCCGCGUGUAUGAAGAAGGCCUGCGGGGUUUAAAGUACUUUCAGCGGGGAGGCGUUACCCGCAGAAGAAGCACCGGCUAACUCCGUGCCAGCAGCCGCGGUAAUAC